CAAUAGCGUAUAUUAAAGUUGUUGCAGUUAAAAAGCUCGUAGUUGGAUUUCUGGUAGGAGUGACCGUUCCGAACUUGAUUGUUCGUGUAUUGUGUUUUCUCCAGCCAUCCUUGUGGAGAACUUUUCUUGCAUUAAUUUGUAGGGAUUGGGACCCGCAUCGUUUACUGUGAAAAAAUUAGAGUGUUUAAAGCAGGCAAUCGCUUGAAUACAUUAGCAUGGAAUAAUAAGAUAGGACUUUGGUACUAUUUUGUUGGUUUGCAUACCAAAUUAAUGAUCAACAGGAACAGUUUGAGGAUAUUCGUAUGAACAUGUCAGAGGUGAAAUUCUUGGAUUUUGACCAGACGAACUACUGCGAAAGCAUUUAUCAAGGAUGUUUUCAUUGA
rnacentral:rRNA from 1 species